ACUCCUAUGGGAGGCAGCAGUGGGGAAUCUUGGACAAUGGGGGCAACCCUGAUCCAGCCAUGCCGCGUGAGUGAUGAAGGCCUUAGGGUCGUAAAGCUCUUUCGCCUGUGAUGAUAAUGACAGUAGCAGGUAAAGAAACCCCGGCUAACUCCGUGCCAGCAGCCGCGGUAAUACGGAGGGGUUUAGCGUUGUUCGGAAUUACUGGGCGUAAAGCGCGCGUAGGCGGAUUAGUAAGUCAGAGGUGAAAUCCCGGGGCUCAACCCCGGAACUGCCUUUGAUACUGCUAGUCUUGAGUUCGAGAGAGGUGAGUGGAAUUCCGAGUGUAGAGGUGAAAUUCGUAGAUAUUCGGAGGAACACCAGUGGCGAAGGCGGCUCACUGGCUCGAUACUGACGCUGAGGUGCGAAAGUGUGGGAGCAAACAGGAUUAGAUACCCGUGGUAGCGACUGA
rnacentral:rRNA from 1 species